rnacentral:rRNA from 1 species
AACGAACGCUGGCGGCAGGCUUAACACAUGCAAGUCGAGCGCCCCGCAAGGGGAGCGGCAGACGGGUGAGUAACGCGUGGGAAUCUACCCAUCUCUACGGAAUAACGCAUGGAAACGUGUGCUAAUACCGUAUACGUCCUUCGGGAGAAAGAUUUAUCGGAGAUGGAUGAGCCCGCGUUGGACUGGCUAGUUGGUGGGGUAAUAGCCUACCAAGGCGACGAUCCAUAGCUGGUCUGAGAGGAUGAUCAGCCACACUGGGACUGAGACACGGCCCAGACUCCUACGGGAGGCAGCAGUGGGGAAUAUUGGACAAUGGGCGCAAGCCUGAUCCAGCCAUGCCGCGUGAGUGAUGAAGGCCCUAGGGUUGUAAAGCUCUUUCACCGGUGAAGAUAAUGACGGUAACCGGAGAAGAAGCCCCGGCUAACUUCGUGCCAGCCGCCGCAGUAAUAC